CUGUCUCAUUAUCAUUCAGGACCUUUCGAAGCAAUGUCAUUUUGUUUUCGGCUGGCCAAAAGGUUCGUCUGGAUUUUUCAUAGGACGUCACACGAACACCCAAACGAAUAUUCUGGCCAACCCCAUAUAACCUUACACACAUCCACCUUUUUUGCGUAGCCGGAUGGGUGGCUUCAUUUCUGUUUCCCUAAUCAUCUCAUUAAGAAUGAAUUCAUAUUGUCUACUUGAUUUUUUUAAAUUAAGAAGCCUUGAUUAAAAUAUUUCCAUUAAAAGCACACUGGCAACGUUUCAAGUUAUUUCCAAACAUUCCAUUCUUUGCUUUUCAGUUCCCAGCGCUAUCCCAUCACACUUUACGGUUCCAAUUUCAACAGCAAAUCAAAUUCAGGCAGACGUGUCCACCAGCCAAACACAGACGGAAGAGCACUUUCAGGCACUGUUGUGUUGUUGUUGUUGUUUAGUUGCUAAGCCGUGUCUGACUCUUGCGAUCUCAUGGACGGUAGCCCACCAGACUCCUCUGUCCAUGGGAGUCUCCAGGGGUUCUUCCCAACCCAGGGAUGGAACCAGGUCUUAUGCAUAGAUGGGCAGAUUCUUUACCAUUGAGCCACCUGGGAAGCCCGUCAGGUACGGUUGAUCUGGGCCAAAUACUAAAGAGCCCCCACUUUAAUAAGCUGGUCCCUGGCCAGGGGAGGAAAGGUAACCAAAGAAACAGGAAAGCAGGGGAACUUGGCAGAAUGAGCAACAGCUCGCGUGAGAGGAGAGGAAAGCCCAACAGCACAGAGAAGCAUGAGGACUGAUCCUCAGAAGUCUGCCUUAGUAGGUCAGAAAGAGGAAAGCAAGCAUCCUGUAGGCAGGCAGACAUGUGGAAUCUAGAACAAUGGUGUUGAUGAUCUUAUUUACAAACCAGAAACAGAGAUACUGACAUAGAGAACAAACCUAUGGACACCAAGCGGGAGAGGAUGGGAGGAUGUGUUGGGAGAUUGGGAUGGACAAAUACACACUACCGAUACCAUGCGCAAAACAGAGAGCCAACGAGGCCCCACUGCAGAGCAUGGGGGACUCCACUCGGUGUUCUGUGAUGGCUAAGUGGGAAGGAAAUCUAAAAAAGAGGGGCUUAAAAACAAUAAAUUAGUCACUUAGUGGGAUCCGACUUUUUGCGAACCCAUAGACUGUAGCUUGCCAAACUCCUCUGUCCAUGGGAUUCUCCAGGCCUGUACUGGAGUGGGUUGCUAUUUCCUUCUCCAGGGGAUCUUCCCAAUCCAGGAACUGAACCAGGCUCUCCUGCAUUGCAGGCAGAUUCUUUACCAUCUGAGCCACCAGGGAAGCAUUUAUAUACAUAUGUGUGUACAUAUAUACAGCUGAUUUACUUUGCUUCACAGUAGAAACUAACACAACAUGUAAAGCAACUAUACGCCAAUAAAAAUUAAUUCUAAAAAAUAAAAUGUAAAAAAAAAUAUUUCAAGUUUACCUGAGAUGAAGAUUACCUUAGAUGAAGAUGAGUUGGACAUGACUGAGCGACUUCACUUUCUUUUCUUUCUUUAGAUGAAGAUUAGGACUUUUUUUCCCAUUUAUCUAACUAACAGAGAGCCAUGAGGGAUUUCAUAAAAUUGUGCUAAAGUAUUAUAAGGGGGGAAAGUAAGAAAUUACAAUCUGUCUGGUAUAACUUUUCCUAGAUUCUAAGACUUAUAACCAAGUUAGAAUAAAACUAAAAAAUUUCGACUUGCCCUUUGCUUGCUUCAGCACCCAAAUAGACUGUGUAUUUACUACUUAAAUAACCAGAGCACAUGAAUUUCAAAGGUUAUGUUAAAAAAGGAAAACAAUAUUUCUCCUCCAAAUUAGAAUGUAUCUUUUGCUCUCUAAAAACCAAUAGAAUAUAUUUAUUUAUUGCUCACUACACUAAUGGCUAAUUUCCAUCUAGUUUUUAAAACUCUAAGGUUAAUUGCCAUAAAUUGUCAAAGAAGCGAAAAUUAAAUAUAUUUAACAUUCUCAUGGGCUUCCCAGGUAGCUCAUCUGGCAAAGAAUCCACAUGCAAUGCUGGAGAACCCCAUUCGAUCCCUGGGUCAGGAAGGUCCCCUGAUGAAGGGAUAGGCUACCCACUCCAGUAUUCUUAGGCUUCCCAGGUAGCUCAGUUGGUAAAGGAUCUGUCUGCAAUGUGGGAGACCUGGAUUUGAUCCCUGGCUUGGGAAGAUCCUCUGGAGGAGGGCAUGGCAACCCACUCCAGUGUUCUUGCCUGGAGAAUCCCCAUGGACAGAGGAGCUUGGCGGGCUACAGUCUCUGGGGUCACAAAGAGCCAGACACAACUGAGCAACUAAGCACACAGGACACACAACACUCUCAUUAUGAAGGACAGCAAUAUUGUUUUUACUGUUUAUUUAAAAUUGAAUUUGCUGUGGUUGUCCUUUUUAAUCCAAAAAUCUGACACUCUUAUCUAUUUGGAGCUUCUCAG
ensembl:lncRNA